AGGAGGACAAGGAGGAAGGGGAGGAAGGGGAGGAAGGGGAGGAAGGGGAGGAAGGGGAAUCAACAGAGGAGGAAUCAACAGAGGAAGAGGAAGAGAUGGAGGCCAUGCUGGAGGUAGAGGAAGAGGAAGACAAGAAGGUGCUCAAAGAGGACCGAAUCUGACAAAUGAGAUCCGCGCAACACUGGUUGACCACAUUGUCAACCACGGCCUGACGCUGAGGGAGGCUGGACUGCGAGUACAGCCAAAUCUAAGCCGAUACACAGUGGCAAGUGUGAUAAGAACAUUUCGACUGGAAAAGAGGAUUGAGGGUCAGGAACGACAAGGGGGAAGGCCUCCUAUGUUCACAGAACAGCAAGAGAGGGAGAUAGUAAACACGGUUUUGGCCAACAAUCCUAUAACACUCAAUCAGCUCCAAGCUAACAUUGUCAAUAACCACGCCAGUUUCAACGAUAUCCAUCAGGUCUCAACAUCAACACUGGCACGCAUCCUAAAAAAAAACAUAUUCAAAUGAAGCAAAUUUAGCGAGUACCUUUCGAGCGCAAUUCCGAAAGGGUGAAACGA